CCGUCGGAACGAGCAGAGGGACUGGUUAGCUGUCGUUCGCCCGGAUUCCACUUGUGUCUUGUCAUAGCGCAGUCCUUAUCUUUGCAGGGAUUAGCACCAGAAAAUCACAGAAUUGCAGAGUUGGAAGGGACCCUCAAGGACCAUCGAGUCCCAAAUCCCAAUCUCCUGCACAGGACAGCCCAAGAGUCACACCAUGUGUGACCCAAUGUGCCCAAGAGCAUUGUCCAAAUGCUUCUUGAACUUGUCAGGCUUUGUGCUGUGACCACUUCCCUGGAGAGCCUGUUCCAGUGCCCAAAUCCCACACUCUGGACAAAGAACCUUAUUCUUCUAUCCAGCCUAAAACUUCUCUGACAUCUUCAGGUCAUUCCCUUGGGUCUUGCCACUGGUCACCACAAAGAAGCGAUCUGGGCAUGAUUGCUGUCACUGUGAAAAUACAACAGAAAAUCAAUCAACCAGCCACUGUUGGAAACCGUCCAUUCCUUUGGGAAGCAUGGUCUCCCAAAUUCUUAUUGAAGCCCAGAGCUUGUCAAAUGCUUACAUAUGUCAUAAGGUUUUUCUGCAGUUCAGUGCUGCAGGCUAGAUCCACCUUUUUUAACAAGAAAUAGGUGAAGCAGGGAAACAGAGGAAGAAAGGUGAAAAUAUAGGUCCAGGAAAUAUCAAGAUAAAGGUCACUUGCUCCACCCUGCCUUGCUCACUCCACUAGAGCCCUGUAUCUUCAGGGACGUCCGUGCAGAGUAGCUGCAGCAAGGUGAUGCUGGGGUGUUCAACCCAGAAUUAGAACACAAGCGGAAACAAGUACUCUAAGAAUUUAUUAUUUAAAAAGACAUUAUGGUAAAUGAUAGCUGAGGUGAAUUGCUUAAUCUUUGUUCCACGAACCCAGAACUCACAAUAAAAUGUCCUCUUCAGUAUUACCUCUUAUUAUGGGAAGGAAGAGGAAUUUCUGUAGGUAUGAGGAAUAUCUUGCAAGAUGCAAGAUCUGGUUUUUUUUUUUUUGGUCUAAUAAUUUUUUCUUAAUCUAACUUUGUAAAUACAAUCACUUUAUGCAAUUUUAUUAUUUUUACUCUUUUGUUUAGUUUGAUUAUGUCUGUUUGGUUUGUUAUGUUGUGCUUUUUGCAGUUAUUGUACUAAAGAUCACCUCAGAUUUUCAGUGAGGUAAUUGAUUUUACUUAUUACUGUUGUUUUUCAUGCAAGUACAAAGAGAAGGACUUGGAUCUCAGUUGGCAGUCUGUGUUUGAAUUACCUGUUACCAAAUAGGUUUGAUACAAGAUGUUUAACACAUUGCAAACCAAAGGCAGCAAUCCUCUGCCAUGGCAUGUUUUGAAAUAAACAGCUUGGAAUAAAAUGUGGUUGAAAUUUAGCUGAACAGAUGAGGAGCUUUAUUUAUGAUAACAUGUGAACAGCCACUGUUAUUCAGGCCUCAUCUGUAGUUCUGAAAUUGUAUGAAAAGAUGAGUGUUAUGUCUUGAAAAUAUAGCCAAUAAAUGGAGGCUAGAUUUCAGAUAACUAGAGCCUGUGCAGGUUGUGUGUAACCACUAACAUCAUGAGGAAAGCAAAACCCUCAGUAUUCCUUCUUAUUCCUGACAGAAUGAUUUGUUAUAAUCUAAUUUUAAAUAUAUUAUAUAUUUGAUGGUUAUAACUAGCUGAGGCUCAGAUCUCAAUCAGAUCUGAUAGCCAUACAUGCUCACAGAAUCAGCCAGCUGGCUGGUUAGUGGGGAAAGAGAGAUCUGACUGCAAGAAAAGGCAAUUAGAUUGUAGCUCUUCCAUUUUGGAGUUAUGCUACAAUAGACACAGGAUUAGAAGAAGAGUAAAAAAUCCCCAAACCUAAUUUCCUUAAAACCUAGGUGUUAAAGAAAUUUUUCACACUGGGGUCUCAUCUCCAUUAGAUAGGUUUAUUGGCACCAAUCAGUUAUGAUACCUGAUUAGCUCCAGCCAAGUGCCUGAUAAGAGUGACCAUGGAAAAAGAAAUCCCUGGGCAAAUACACCCUCACAAUGUAAUCUCCCUAUCCAUCAUGUGACAGUCUGGAGCAGCAGCCAUAUUAGGGGCUGUGGUAUUGUCACCCUUCAUUUUUUUUACCAAGUGAUUGCUAGGUGAUCAUUUUUACAUCCCCUUAGGUUGGUUUCGGUGGGGGUUUCAGCCAGUUUUGUAGUCCAUGUUGUAGUAGUGUUGUUACAGUUCAUAUGCCACAAUUUAGAGGCUGUCCACUCUGGAAAAGGAACCAUCAGCUUUAAGGGAAAGGCAUGACAAAACAAUGGAAGGGAGGGGGAAAAGGGAUUCAGGGUCAAAUCUAGCAGAGAUGAGAAAUAUCUGUCUUCAGAUAAAGAAUGAUUCUGUCAGAAAUCUGUCAGAUUAAUAUUUGAAUCUCUGCCUCUUUCUGGGUGGCCUAUCUCCUCUCCUCUGCUAGUUUUGUCUAAAUACUAUCUUACAGAAUCUCACUGGGGAGAAAAAAAGUUUUUGUUCUGCUUUUCCUGUUCUACAGGGUGUAUGGAGGGGAUCCUGAUGGGCGAAGAACUGUUUCAGUUCCUUCUGCAACGGCAUCAUAUCUUGCAUUAAUCGAGGAACUCAAGCAGGGUUUGCUGAGAAGGCUUCAUUAAGCUGUACUAAACCCGGGAAUGGGUGCAGCUCUGCUCUGGUUGAAACUGCUGUUUGUCCUUCGAAAGAGAUUUCAGAUUAAUUGAACAGUAACAAACACUACAAGGUGAAUGUAUCAGGGCCAAAAUCUCAAGCCUGGGAAAGGACUGAGUUUUUCUUCGCAGAGACAUAUUUGAGCAAAACAGGAUCCCAUCCACGGAAAUACCCAUUUUGCGAAAACUGAUCAUCUAUCCCGCAAAAAUUAGGAGACUGCACAUCCUGUGGCCAAAGGUGCUGAAGUCGUCCACUGCCUCCAUAAUUCCUUUUCUUUCUUUAAUGUCUUACAUCUUUCUGGUUUGGGCAAGGAAACUGAGUUUUUCUCUUUGCUGAAGAAACCCUUGGGGUAUGGCCCAUAUCAAGCUCUUGGUACAGAAAAUGGAGAGAAAAUAUUACUGAGAUGUAUCAACUGAGUGUGCAAGUCUUAUCCAGCCUGCACAGAUGGAGAUCACUGAAGGUGAUGGACUGUGCCAGGCAGUGAUGCUGUGCUAGGAGCGGGAAAUGAGGGGAGCUGGCAGAAAGGAGGGCAGUGUUCCUUUUCCUUGGUGCUCAAAUAGAGCUGGAGAAGCAGAUGUUGCUGAGCCAAGCCUUGCCAUGAAGACACAAGACUGUGUUAAUGGCAAGCAACAUAAACCACGGAAAGGACCAUGAGGAGAAGAGCACAAGCCCUUUCAAAGCCACCA